ACGGGAGGAAACGACCACCUGGCGCCCUGGGAUUGGAAGAGGAGCAGGCCCCGCCCCCAGGCGCCGUCCGAACCCUCCCGGCAGAGGGCCGCUGCUAGAGCACGUUCUGCUCUAGCUUUUCAAUGAACGUCUCAUCAUAGAGUCUCAACCCACUCAAGCCACAAAAACAAAGUUUCUGGGGGCCAGGGAAGCAGAUGGUGAAAACAGGAGAACGGCCUGCCCCAGGAGAGUGUGCUUGCGCCAUCCACACAAAUGACCAGCUCUGCCAGAAGGGACUGAGUUUCCUCUAUGCUGACGAUCGUGCCAUCACCCCCCAAGCAGGCAGUUUUGAAAGGGUUGGACAGAAGCUCUCCCAAGCUUCAGGUGCUUCUCUUGUUGUUCUUCCUCCUCUUCGUCCUCCUCGUCCUGGCAAAUCAUUGGGUGGAAGAAGAGGUCGCCCGCCUCGGAGAGAUGGAAGACCACAAUGGACCGGUGGUCGUGUUCCCUCUGGACAAGGGCAGCCGUGAUGCCUGUAAAAGAGGGGCAGAGGAAGAGAGAUAUCUGGGUGCAAGGGUCAUCCUUUGGGGGCUUCAGGCUCAAGAAUCACAGCUCAUCUGACUCACGAACUGAUGCGCUGUAGAGGCAAAUAUGCAACUGGUUCUGCUUGCACUGAAGGUAUAGCGGUCAUCAUUCUGAAUACAGUCUAAAGAACAACCUCCAAGUUUAACAGUGAUGUAAAUAGAUAAAUAGGUACCGCGUUAAGGGGCGAGGCUUUAGCUCAGCAGGCUAAUCGCCCAGCUGUCAGCUGCAGUAAAUCUUGCCAACCAGAAGGUUCUCAGUUCAAACCCUGGGUCGGGUGAGCGCCUGGCUAUUCAGCCCAGCUUCUGACCACCAAGCAGGUCGAAAACAGCGAUGUAAGUAGAUAAAUAGGUACCGCAUUAAAGCGGGGAGGUAUUAAAAUAAGGGACGGCAAUCUCUUUGGUACAGAAGAUGGAGCGAAAGCACACACCCACACCCCCCCAGUGACCGAAACCGAGCACAGCCUCCAAAAAGAUGCCGAAAGAUCAAAAGUCUAUAUAUAUGCCUCUAUCUGUCUGUCCUGUCUUUGUCUAAUUUGCAUUGAAUGUUUGCUUUAUAUGUGUUCUAUUAUCCGUUCUGAGUCCCCUUCAGGGUGAGAAGAGCAGAAUAAUAAAACUGUAAAUAAACAGACAAAUAAGUAACACAAAACUUUCAGCAACUGACUAAAACAUGCCUGAUAAUUGAUUUAGAAGCAUGGAAGUUCAGAAAUUGAUCCUCCUCCUACACCCAGCUACUGCACUUUAUUCUGGUCCAUCCUAUUAGAGGUUGCAAGAUAUUGCACAAAGAUAAAUGUACUACCUUGCCUCCAAUUUUGAAUACACUCACUGCGCCUGGCUAUUGGUUAUCUGCUGCGAGUAUGUUCCAUUGUAUUUUAUAUUGUAAAGACGUUAAUUAAUAAAACCGGCUGCCACCAAUUUGGAAAGAUGCAA